AUUGAACGCUGGCGGAAUGCUUUACACAUGCAAGUCGAACGGCAGCACGGACUUCGGUCUGGUGGCGAGUGGCGAACGGGUGAGUAAUAUAUCGGAACGUAUCCAAUAAUGGGGGAUAACUAAUCGAAAGGUUGGCUAAUACCGCAUACGUCCUACGGGAGAAAGCUAGGGACCUUCGGGCCUGGCGUUAAUGGAGCGGCCGAUAUCGGAUUAGCUAGUUGGUGAGGUAAAGGGUCACCAAGGCGACGAUCCGUAGCUGGUCUGAGAGGACGGGCAGCCACACUGGAACUGAGACACGGUCCAGACUCCUACGGGAGGCAGCAGUGGGGAAUUUUGGACAAUGGGCGAAAGCCUGAUCCAGCCAUUCCGCGUGAGUGAAGAAGGCCUUCGGGUUGUAAAGCUCUUUCGCAAGAGGAGAAAACUUACCCUCUAACAUAGGGUGAGGUUGACGGUAUCUUGAUAAGAAGCACCGGCUAACUACGUGCCAGCAGCCGCCGUAA
rnacentral:rRNA from 1 species